rnacentral:rRNA from 1 species
CAGUUGGGAAUCUUGCACAAUGGGGGCAACCCUGAUGCAGCGACGCCGCGUGGAGGACGAAGGGUCUAGGCCUGUAAACUCCUUUUCUCGGGAAAGACUUAGGACGGUACCCGAGGAAUAAGCCCCGGCUAACUACGUGCCAGCAGCCGCGGUAAGACGUAGGGGGCAAGCGUUAUCCGGAUUUACUGGGCGUAAAGCGCGCGUAGGCGGCUCGUUAAGUGCACAAGUGAAAGCUCUUGGCUCAACCAAGAAAUUGCUUUGCAUACUGGCGGGCUGGAGGGACGCAGAGGUCUGUGGAAUUCCUGGUGUAACGGUGAAAUGUGUUGAUAUCAGGAGGAACACCCAUGGCGAAGGCAGCAGACUGGGCGUUUCCUGACGCUGAGGCGCGAAAGCGUGGGUAGCAAACAGGAUUAGA